CGUCUAUUUACAUAAUCCAGUGUCCGGCGGAAACCUGUCUGGUGAACAAGAAACAUAGUUGAACUAAAACACACGCGCGCCAAGUAAAGUAGUAUACAAUGCAUAUUCUGACGUUUUGAGGUUCAUACUGGUUCCAGUUCACAAAUCAUACGACACUGAAUGUUUCCUUCGAGAAAAUGAUAUGUGUAUGCGUUCGUACCUAAAGUCGUACAGACAGAACUAUACCUGGACCCUGAAAAGAUACACAUAGCAUGUUGGAAGCGAAAAAUUGGGGGCGUCUAGACGAGUUGACCCACCUCAUUCUGCGACCUUGUCGGAACGCAUCGCUGAAGUCCGUCGAACAGUCCCCGGCACGACGCGACGGUCACCGCAAGCUUCUGCACACGCACACACACACAUAUAGGGAGCGCACGCACUUCACCGUGUCAAGCUCACGUCGAGCGCUCGGGCGACAAGAACGGCAUACGGCGAAAAGGCUGGGUCACACACGAAAUGGCGUCGGAGGCGGCGACGACGUCGAAGCGGGUCCUCAAACAGCCCACGUGUGUGUGCGGCACAUAGACACACGGCGCUCGCCGCCAGCGCGUGGCAUGCGGCGAGACCCAUUCGAAUGUGCUCGCGUGCUUCACGACCACGCCACAGAGCGCGACGCGCCGCCGAGAAGAAAGAAAGGGGGCACACAGCCAUAAACAUAACGUUCGAACACUUUUCGAAUAGUUCGCAGCAGCGGCCCGUGGUCGGAGAUAGCACCUUUACCACCCUGUGUGUUCUUUUUUUUUUUUAUUGUCUCAUCCCUUUCCCGUAUCUUGGUCGUCACUGCGCGCAUACACACGUAAACAGCGCGAGGCUGCCUGCCGCCCUUGGCGCCGAGCGUAUACUCAUAAAGAGGGACAUUAAGCGUCCGCGCCGAGACGCGCUGGCGAGCCAUCAUUGUCUCUCCAUUUAGGGCCCAUCGCCUGCUGGCGGAGGCGGCUGUGGCAGACGUCGACGGGCACGGCGAGCGAUGCACCAGCGUGCGGGCCGCGACGCAGGGCACCGCGCGAAGACGCCCACUGACUCGGCUGAAGGCUGACUGGGGGUAUACACCACGCCGGCGCCGCCGAUCCAUGUGCUCCUGUGUGUAUGACCUGCGAAGCCACGGCAGCCCGGAGACCGUGCACGGGACCGAGAGACUGCACGGCCUAGGACCUUCCACGUUACUUAAGUUACACCAGCGACACGGCCCUACAAAGAGACGUGAGAAGUUAAAGCCAUGGCAGCGAGCAACUGCGAACAUGCUGACGCCCGCCUACGAAAAGUACAGAAAUUAUACUCGAAAAAAAAGAAAGCAAGCCGAAGCUAACUUUUCCAGGAUGUCUUGUUACCCUUGACACAUCGCACGAUCUGGCUUCUAAAAUUCACGAGUCCGAUACACAAUAUCAUGAACGGAAUAUAUAUUUUUUUGUUCUACACUCUUCUUGAACGCUUCUUAUAGUUCGUCUACGUGGCACGCCCUGUGCCAACUCGCGUUAUUUUAGCCCACUCUUCCAGACUGUUUAUACGCUUCUUCAGCGUGCAGACACGCGCACACGAUACAACGCCCCAUUACAGGCUCUUUCGCCAACAUAGCGUAGGAAUGUGCCAAAAUAUGGGAGGGGGAGAGAAAGAGAGAGAGAGAGAGAGAUGCUGUUGGAUUUGAUAACACCUCCGCUCGCGUAAAAGCUCGAAGAAGUAGAAAGAACGCAUCGCAUUACUUCCAUGGGCCGCACCCAGCCCGCUGGAUGAGCUUGCAUGCAUACUGCAUCGGAAGCAUUCAGCUAGCUGAAAGCGCCUUCGCAGACUGUCUAGAAAAAAGUGCGCAGCACUCUGUGAAGCCUGAACAGUUGCAAGAAAGCGAACAGAACACCGCAUACUUCCAAAAAGCUCUAGAAAUUGCGGUCAUUUCCUUGUAGCGCUCGCAGAACUGGCGGCAGUAUAUAGCCUCGGCAGGGUCGUAGAUUUUAGAGUAUGGUUUAACAGCAUCCAGGCGCAUUCGUUUACUGGAUCCUCCCAGUGUUCUCCUCCGGGAAUGGUCUAAAAGAGACUUUUUUUUUUCUCCUCUUCUCGGCAGCGCCUAACUUCAAAGGCUGCCAUCCUUGUUGCCACGGUAACGGUAUGGUCUCCCGAGCCCAUAGGCGAGCCCCUUUCGGAAAGCACUUUUCUCUGGUCCCACAUGCGGGGAAGGAGCACCCAACAGUCCGCGGUCCAAUGGCUGCUCCGCGUGUAAUUGGCCCUCAGCCUGCAUUGUUUCCAGUCCCGAAAAUGGUGCUUACACUUCCGCCAGUCGGGCGGCUGGCUGGUGCCGGUGUAGCAGACGGCACUUUCACCUAAAAAGGUCGGCUUCGCCUCGGAAUUAUGGCCGCCUGGAGAUUCUUCCUAACCUUCUCUGUGUAGAAAGCGCCCUGCAAGCGACAGACGCAAGGGAAAGGAAAGAGAAAUGGGUGUCGGAGCUACGUCGGGCAACACGCAGCAGUCUUUACGGCGUCCUAAGACGCUUUGAAACGAAGGGCGCCAUUGAAAGUAAAGGAACCUGUGAUUGGUCUUUCCACGGCUUAACGACAUGUUAAACAAGGACGGUCUCUUGAAUACAGCUCGGAAGUCUCGUAUCUCCUUUACGUUUCUCGCACAUUAUGUCGCUCUACAAGCUAUUAGGGCGCUAAUUCAUCGCUGCCCUGCUACCUGUCAGCCGUGGCUCCGACGAGUCGAAGGCUCAAAAUUUACCCAGCGCCAACACGCGCUGAAUGUAUAGAGUGAUGCGCGAUGCUAGGCAUGAGAUGGAUUACUGUCGCUGGCGGCCAGGUCACGCGUUAUACGUCUACAGAAAUUUUGUGUGCUAAUUGUGCUCUAGUACGUGGAACAAUCAAGCCUUCUCUUCUGCGUUGACAGUCUUAGACUAACAAGAACAGCGUAAAGGCCACAGAGGUGAGCGCACCAUUAUUAUACCUCCGAAAUGAAGGUGCUUUUGUUGCUUUUUACUUAAAAACCACAGCAUGUCUAGCUUGUAGCCAUCAAUACAGAGACCUGUACAAUUUAUCUACGCUUAUGGUAGUGGCAACAUACAAGCAAUAUCAAUUAUUUAUUGCAGAUAAAUUUGUUCCAUGAAGUUUCAGAACAUAGGUGAGAGAUUUCCACAGAGAGAGUUAGUGGACUUGUAAAUUUCUCGCGUAUGAGCAUUGCUUUUCAUGGAUAUUUUUCUGGACACCACAAACGUCAACGUAUAAUUUUUGCUGCACGUAGUUUGCAGAUUUAAACGCGAUAAACUUGACGCGACGCCCGGUGCAGCGUUCUUGAUUGCGCUGCAUCGACAUUUCAGUGGUAUGUACCUCGUAAAACCAGCUACUAAAUAAUUAAUUACUAUACUAAUAAGUGUUUACACAAAUGACACUUCACAGAACGGAUGUACUCGCCAAUGCCAGAAGUAAUUUCGAACAGACAUUUCGAAUAUAUACCUUGAUGUAGAACGACAUACAGGCUUUAUUGGAUUAGUUUUGUAUCUCUGCUUGCAUUUUAACUAUCUCUAAGCAAUGGCGACACAGAUCACAACACCGGAUGAUUUGCUGUCUCAGCCUUCUCGCGGUAUGCGCGUAAUUACUCAGAUCACUGGCAAAAAUUCUCUCGUGAGUCCGAAGUCAACGUCACCACUGGUUUUAGAGCCGCGCGGGGGAAAGUCUUGUUUAAUAUUAAUGCAUCGUAUUUGUAAGCAAUAACGGCAGCGUUCGCUCACACGUAAGCUUAUCGCUUGCAAAUAUCCACACUUUAAUAGUUCAACAAAAUGGGCCCUAUUUUUAUUGCAACGUUUCUUUAUUUUUAGCAAUCUUUCGCGCCCAAUAAACUUGUAGUUUACGAUUAACCCCAUGUUGCUUCUAAAACGAAAUAUUGUUUCAAGCCACAUAAAAUCAAUGGUUUACAACACUGCACACAUUUAUCAACACAUCAUCCGCAUGUACUGUGUUACACAAUGCAUUUCUAGCUGCUUUCAUCAGUGUAUCUGUUAUUUUUAUGUUUAAUUCGAUGUCGUGGAGUCUGUUCUUAAACCUUUUUGCUUUGAAGGAAGGGGGUGCACGUGCGUUCCUUCACUGUUAAGUUUCUCUGCAAGCGAGAAGUGUCGUAACUCCUGAUUCCAUCUUAAAGAAAAAAAAAAUCUUAAUUGCAAUGACCCUGACACGGCUAGAUUUGCUGCUCAUGCCCUCGAAAUCGCUUCUCGUCUUUGCUUUUUAGAUUUCUGCGCUUAAAUAAAAAAAUCUAAUUAUUAUUACGAAUACUUCAAGAAACGUUGCCGUCAUCUUUGUACGUGAUUAAGUAUAUUUCUUUUAUUUUCAUCUAAAUAAAAAAAAUGUUGUCAGCUUAAAGAACGAUUUUUUUUUCUUGCGAAGUGCUUUGGACCACGUAUUAAAGAAUCGUUGACUAGAGAAAGGUAAAUCAGUGAUUAAAUGUAAUUUAAGGUCAAUCUAUCAAGUUGUUCAUCAAAUAUAUUAGACUUCGAAUCAGGUUACAGUAAGUGAUGAACCUCGCCCGCGAUAAAAACUCGGAGUCCUGGCUGUAGUGCGUGCUAUAUGCGAUUAAUGUACGUGCAACAACUUUCUCACGUCGUCUGCGCAUGCAUAAGUUGCCGUAUAUAAUAACUCUUGAAUUCCCCUAAUGCUCUUAUGUCAUUUAAAUGACGUGUUGACAUGUUGUAACGAAUAGUGAUUCAACAAAGGAUGUCACACACUCUAUCACCGUUCCGACAAGGUGACUUGCCUCGAUCAGCACAAAUUUCCUUGUCGAAAUAUUUAAUUCAGACUGACGCUUCCCUUGUAUACCCACUAUUGAUUACUUCAACCCUCCAUCUCAGUGUAGCAGUUCCCGUGACGUCCUGUAAUCUUCCUAGAACAUUUACUGCGAGAGCAUCCAUUACUUUACGGAUAUGUUCGCGCAUCUUAGUGGCGUAAUCUGCUUCUUUACCGCCUAAAAGAAAAUUUUCAAAGUACUCUGAAUGUCAGAAAUGCUAAACACACUGCUAAUGAUAGUACCGUGAUCUCACCGAUGCUAGAGCAUGCGAUCAUUGCGUAGGAAACAGUGUAUCAAUGACAUCUUCAUGGGCCGCAUAUCAGUUCGCAGAGAAGUUUAUUAAACAGGCAAUACAGUAGAUUCACUCAAAGACGACCACGUAAAUAUUGGAAACUUGUUUUUCUAUUUAUCAUAAACUGUUCUUAAAAGAAGCGCGCUCGUUAUGGGUGGCCAAACAAGGGUCUCUAAGUUGUUCAGCUUAUCAGAAAAUUUGGCUUUAAUAAAAUUUAUGUUAUCUUGAGCA